rnacentral:rRNA from 1 species
CCCUUAGAUGUUCUGGGCCGCACGCGCGCUACACUGACGAAUGCAACGAGCUUAUAACCUUGGCCGAAAGGUCUGGGUAAUCUCCAAAUUUCGUCGUGAUGGGGAUAGAUUAUUGCAAUUAUUAAUCUUCAACGAGGAAUGCCUAGUAAGCGCAAGUCAUCAGCUUGCGUUGAUUACGUCCCUGCCCUUUGUACACACCGCCCGUCGCUCCUACCGAUUGAAUGGUCCGGUGAAGCGUUCGGACCGUGGCCUUUGGACGGUUCGCCGUCUGUUGGCUGCGUGAAGUUCGUUAAACCUUAUCAUUUAGAGGAAGGAGAANUCGUANCA